UACGUAGGAGACGAGCGUUGUCCGGAAUCACUGGGCGUAAAGCGCGUGUAGGCGGAUGAGCAAGUCGAACGUGAAAACUCGGAGCUCAACUCCGAGCCUGCGUUCGAUACUGGACGGCUAGAGUCUGGUAGGGGGAGUCUGGAAUUCCUGGUGUAGCGGUGAAAUGCGCAGAGUAUCGGGAGGAACACCAAUGGCGAAGGCAGCUCGCUGGGA
rnacentral:rRNA from 1 species